rnacentral:lncRNA from 1 species
GGGGCUUGGCCCUUUAUAGACCUACGAUGUAAUAAUACCCUAACCACAUACCCACCAUACGACUGGAAUCACACAUACACUGCCACAAGAGGUCUGCAGUGAAGGUCCCAAAGUCCCAGACAACGGAGUCUCUCUCUGUCGCCCAGGGUAGAGUGCAGUGGUGCAAUCCUGGCUCACUGCAACCUCUGCCUCCCAGGUUCAAGUGAUUCUCCUGCCUCAGCUUCCCAAGUAGCUGGGACUACAGGCGUGUGCCACCACGACCAGGAUCUUUCUGCUGAUGCAGCUGUUAAGAGUGUUUCAUAAACUGUGACAACACUAAGAGGCCAGGUGCAGUGCAUGUAAUCCCAGCACUUUGGGAGACUGAGAUGGGAAGAUCGCUUGAGGCCAGGAGUGCAAGACCAGCCUGGGCAACACAGCAAGACCUUGAUUCUACUAAAAAAAAAAAAGGAUCCUUCAACUUCAACAAUAAUAACACAAGGGAAGUGAAGAAAAACACUUUCUAAGGAAAUCUCUCUCUGAGCUACCAUCCUGCUAGGGAGAGCCUGAAAGCAGAAUGCUGACUUGACUAGCUCUGGUCAAUGAAAGAAAUCACCAGUGGAAAGGCUACCAGGGGGCUUUCUCAAAAGAGAGGGACAGUAAACUGCAAGAUGAACAACUCAAUGCCAUCCAGGUCUGGAUGAGAAAGAACAGUCGAGAGACUGAGUUUCAGGAGUGGAAACACUCAAAGCAUCAUCUUCCACUUUCUUCUCCGGCUGCUAGGAAGAAGGGAAAAACACAGACCUUCUGAGGACCUGCGGAGCAAACCACUGGCUUCAGAAAAGCAAACAGGGACUUCCCUCUGCGCAGCAGGAAGCAGUUAGCCUAGUCGGAGGCUUGACUGAAGAAACAAAUGAGGGAAGGCAGAAGUUGAGACGCAGCCAGUAGAGGAAACUCCGGGAGAGGCAGGCAGCGUCACUUGAAGAAAAGCUCUAUUGUGAUGGGAACAAUCACAGGAACUAAGCGGCAACAAAAUGGCUCCCCACCCCCUCUGCAAAUCCCAACUCCAUGCAAGCACUCUCCCUUCCCUCAUUUUCUUUUCUUUUUUUUUGAGAUGGAGUCUCGCUCUGUUGCCCAGGCUGGAGUGCAGUAGCGCGAUCUCGGCUCACUGCAACCUCCACCUUCUGGUUUCAAGCAAUUCUCCUGCCUCAGCCUCCCCAGUAGCUGGGACUACAGGCGUGUGCCACCACGCCUGGCUAAUUUUUUUUUUUAAUUUUUAGUAGAGACAGAGUUUCACCAUGUUGGCCAGGCUGGUCUCGAACUCCUGGCCUCAAGUGAUCCACCUGCCUCAGCCUCCCAAAGUGGUGGGAUUACAGGUGUAAGCGACCACGCCCGGCCUUUUAAAAUCGACUUGAGUCUCAUCUCCUGAAAUGCAAAAUGCAUUGGGCCUGUCUCUUACUUCUGCAUGUCUCAUAAUGCUUAGCACAGCACAAGCCCCGAGAGCGCAUCAUACACCCUGGGGUGGGGAGCUCCUGGCAGGGCUGGAUCCACUCACCAUUCCUGCCAUCCAUUGGCACUUGGCUCAGCACAGUUAGGCCAACAAGGACAUAAUAGACAAGUCCAAAACAGUACUGCACGACGUGAAUCAUGACAUUGGAGAAGACACUGACGUAGAGGCACUCGAAGAGUCUUCGUAAGCUGUGCAGCCACAGAAAUACUAGCACUAAGAAUGCAGACAGUGCCAGCUCCCCUCCUACAAUUCAGAAGGCAACAGGGUCAGCAUUUCUCUUCUGGGAUUAAUCCAAAGUUUUGUUUUUCUGUACUGUUAAGCAAAGUAUUAAAUCCCAUCUAACAUC